rnacentral:rRNA from 1 species
GAUGAACGCUGGCGGCGUGCCUAAUACAUGCAAGUCGAGCGAACGGACGAGAAGCUUGCUUCUCUGAUGUUAGCGGCGGACGGGUGAGUAACACGUGGAUAACCUACCUAUAAGACUGGGAUAACUUCGGGAAACCGGAGCUAAUACCGGAUGAUAUUUUGAACCGCAUGGUUCAAAAGUGAAAGACGGUCUUGCUGUCACUUAUAGAUGGAUCCGCGCUGCAUUAGCUAGUUGGUAAGGUAACGGCUUACCAAGGCAACGAUGCAUAGCCGACAUGAGAGGGUGAUCGGCCACACUGGAACUGAGACACGGUCCAGAGUCCUACGGGAGGCAGCAGUAGGGAAUCUUCCGCAAUGGGCGAAAGCCUGACGGAGCAACGCCGCGUGAGUGAUGAAGGUCUUCGGAUCGUAAAACUCUGUUAUUAGGGAAGAACAUAUGUGUAAGUAACUGUGCACAUCUUGACGGUACCUAAUCAGAAAGCCACGGCUAACUACGUG